rnacentral:rRNA from 1 species
UACGUAGGGGGCAAGCGUUGUCCGGAAUUAUUGGGCGUAAAGAGCGCGUAGGCGGUCCGAUAAGUCGGCUGUGAAAGUCAAGGGCUCAACCCUUGAAAGCCGGCCGAUACUGUCGGACUAGAGUCCGGAAGAGGCGAGUGGAAUUCCCGGUGUAGCGGUGAAAUGCGCAGAUAUCGGGAGGAACACCAAUGGCGAAGGCAGCUCGCUGGGACGGUACUGACGCUGAGGCGCGAAAAGCGUGGGGAGCAAACAG